GAUGAACGCUAGCGGCAGGCCUAAUACAUGCAAGUCGAACGGUGUCUUCGGACAUAGUGGCGCACGGGUGCGUAACACGUAUGCAACCUACCUUACAUUGGGGGAUAGCCUUUCGAAAGGGAGAUUAAUACCGCAUAAGACAGUAGCUGGGCAUCCAGCAGCUGUUAAAGAUUUAUCGAUGUAAGCUGGGCAUGCGUCCAAUUAGCUAGUUGGUGAGGUAACGGCUCACCAAGGCAAUGAUUGGUAGGGGAACUGAGAGGUCAAUCCCCCACACUGGCACUGAGAUACGGGCCAGACUCCUACGGGAGGCAGCAGUAGGGAAUAUUGGGCAAUGGACGCAAGUCUGACCCAGCCAUGCCGCGGGCAGGAUGAAGGCGUUAUGCGUUGUAAACUGCUUUUAUACAGGAAGAAACGACUCUUGCGAGAGGCAUUGACGGCACUGUAUGAAUAAGCACCGGCUAACUCCGUGCCAGCAGCCGCCGUAAAAC
rnacentral:rRNA from 1 species